UACGUAGGGCGCAAGCGUUGUCCGGAAUUCUUGGGCGUAAAGAGCGUGUAGGCGGCCUGAAAGGUCAGCUGUGAAAACUCGAGGCUCAACCUCGAGACGUCGGUUGAAACCAUCUGGCUAGAGUCCGGAAGAGGAGUGUGGAAUUCCCGGUGUAGCGGUGAAAUGCGCAGAUAUCGGGAAGAACACCCGUGGCGAAGGCGGCACUCUGGGACGGUACUGACGCUGAGACGCGAAAGCGUGGGGAGCGAACAGG
rnacentral:rRNA from 1 species